rnacentral:rRNA from 1 species
AACGCUAGCUACAGGCUUAACACAUGCAAGUCGAGGGGAAACGACAUCGAAAGCUUGCUUUUGAUGGGCGUCGACCGGCGCACGGGUGAGUAACGCGUAUCCAACCUGCCCACCACUUGGGGAUAACCUUGCGAAAGUAAGACUAAUACCCAAUGAUAUCUCUAGAAGACAUCUGAAAGAGAUUAAAGAUUUAUCGGUGAUGGAUGGGGAUGCGUCUGAUUAGCUUGUUGGCGGGGUAACGGCCCACCAAGGCUACGAUCAGUAGGGGUUCUGAGAGGAAGGUCCCCCACAUUGGAACUGAGACACGGUCCAAACUCCUACGGGAGGCAGCAGUGAGGAAUAUUGGUCAAUGGGCGAGAGCCUGAACCAGCCAAGUAGCGUGCAGGAUGACGGCCCUAUGGGUUGUAAACUGCUUUUAUAAGGGAAUAAAGUGAGUCUCGUGAGACUUUUUGCAUGUACCUUAUGAAUAAGGACCGGCUAAUUCCGUGCCAGCAGCCGCGGUAAUACGGAAGGUCCGGGCGUUAUCCGGAUUUAUUGGGUUUAAAGGGAGCGUAGGCCGGAGAUUAAGCGUGUUGUGAAAUGUAGAUGCUCAACAUCUGAACUGCAGCGCGAACUGGUUUCCUUGAGUACGCACAAAGUGGGCGGAAUUCGUGGUGUAGCGGUGAAAUGCUUAGAUAUCACGAAGAACUCCGAUUG